GGAAAAUGUAGAUAUGGUGACGUAUUCCUUAUCACAAAAUAUCGUAAGGAGAUACGAGUCCACGCGGUGUUGUCACUCAAAUUCACGUAAAGCUGGUACAUACAUAGGACGAAACCAAACCACGCUUGCGAGUUUGAAUUACUGAACAACAUGAUAAUCCCCCAUUACUCGCUGGCACCAUGAAGAGCUUUUGGACAAUCGUGUAUUUGAACCUUACGACCCCACAG